rnacentral:tRNA from 10 species
AUGGAAGGGGGGGGGGUCCUUCCUUUUGGGAAAAACACUUCCUUUUCCGGGGUAUAUUUACUGCAUAAACUACAUGUACUCAUACUGCUAAUUGACUGCUAGGCUGUGGACUGCGGUGUACAUACUGACAUACACCAGUAUAGAGUACAAGGUACAAUUCCUUGUCCGCUGGUCCAAGCGGUCCCGGGUUCGAUUCCCGG